rnacentral:rRNA from 1 species
GCAGUAGCCGCGGUAAUACGGAGGGUGCAAGCGUUAAUCGGAAUUACUGGGCGUAAAGCGCACGCAGGCGGUCUGACAAGUCAGAUGUGAAAUCCCCGGGCUUAACCUGGGAACUGCAUUUGAAACUGUCAGGCUGGAGUCUUGUAGAGGGGGGUGGAAUUCCAGGUGUAGCGGUGAAAUGCGUAGAGAUCUGGAGGAAUACCGGUGGCGAAGGCGGCCCCCUGGACAAAGACUGACGCUCAGGUGCGAAAGCGUGGGGAGCAAACAGGAUUAGAUACCCCGGUAGUCCCUGUCUCUUAUAA